UACGUAGGGGGCAAGCGUUAUCCGGAUUUACUGGGUGUAAAGGGAGCGCAGACGGCUUUGUAAGUCUGAAGUGAAAUGCCGCAGCUCAACUGCGGAAUUGCUUUGGAAACUAUGGAGCUAGAGUGUCGGAGGGGUAAGCGGAAUUCCUAGUGUAGCGGUGAAAUGCGUAGAUAUUAGGAAGAACACCGGUGGCGAAGGCGGCUUACUGGACGACCACUGACGUUGAGGCUCGAAAGCGUGGGGAGCAAAC
rnacentral:rRNA from 1 species